CUUACUUUUCGAACCAUUCUCUCAGAUUAUCGACGGCCUCAUCUCCCUCGCUUGAAAAAACUCCUCCGCAACGGCCCUAAAAUUGACAAUAAAAUCUUGAUUUGGAAUCCCUCGCACUUGAGGUGCAGGCAAGGCCAGUUCGAUGGAAGUAUUUGUUCUCUCAAUCUUUUUUCUUUCUCUUUCCCCUCUCCUUCCUAGACAUUUGUGCUUUCGAUGAGUGUGAACUACGGCGUCGAGCUUCUCUAAGGCUAGUUUAGCAGCGUCGAGGGAGGGAUUCAGCCGGAGGUAGAACGAUGGGCAUCCCCGGGAGAUCAACCAAAGCUAAGGUUUGGACAUACAAAUAACGAAAUUAAGGUCUGCACACAGGCAGACACGGACAAAAGAAUCAGGGGAUUCCAUCGUGUAGUAAAGGUAAAAAUGGGAGAGCCCCAAUCUGUGUUCCAGCAGAUUAAUUACAAAAUAUUUGCAAUAAUAAUAAUGGAAGAUGUAGGCACUCGAUCCCCGUAAAAUCUGGUGUGUAAAGAAGCCGGUUUUCCAAUUUGUAGCAGCAAAAACUGAGCAGCUGCACUCAAAUGCACUUUCCUGUCGAUUCAAGCAAAAUCUGGUGCAAAUAGAAAUCUGAUUACCAAUUUGUAGCCGCAAAACACCGAGCAGCUGAUCUCGAGUGCACUUUCCAGUGGCCAGCUUCAGAUGUCUGGUCGUCCUGUUCGUUGUACAUUACCUGUGGAGUAAAGAAUACGAAAACAGCAAGUUUUAAUUUUGGCAAUUGAGACAUUCGGCUCUAAGGCAAAAUUUUCCAAGGCGCCUUUGUUACGGGCUGUCCAGAGGUAAUAGAUAGUAGCAGCGAAGCCAGCUUGUCGCAUAAGAGAAAGAGCUGUUCCAGGUUUAACGUUGUCUCUAAACCAGUCCAGCGCUGCGUGGAGGUUGUUAAGGCCUGGUGAAAUUUGAAGCCACGAGCAGAUACAAUUCCAGACUGUCGAAGCAAAGGGGCACUCGAAAAAGAGGUGCUGACAUUUUCAUUGUGUUCCUUACAUAAAACGCAUAAGGGGUCGAUGUCCAGAAACUGGAGUCGAUCUUUGGUCUUGAGUUUACCGAGAGUUGCGAGCCACAGGAUAAAUGUGUGUUUGAGCAGCGCAUUGCUAUUCCAGAUCGUACGAGCAGGCAACCAGAUUGGACUCGGGUUCCUGAAGAAGCUGUAGGCAGCAGACGCGUUCUUGUGAAGACCGAACCAAUGCGUUAAACCAAUAAUGGCGAGAUGCUGAUCGCCGAAGCCUGCCACAAGUUUAUCCCGAAUUGAUAAAAUGGUUUUAAGAAAGAAAGAAUCAGUGUGUUGAGCUGAUCGGGUCCAUAAAUCCUGCAGUCGGAAAUACCGAUUGUGCAUCCAUUUAACCCAUAACAACUCUUUAUCAGUGUGAAGACGCCAUAUGAAUUUGCAGAGGAGCGCCGUGUUCCAUUCCGAUAAAGAACGAAGACCCAGACCCCCUCCCUCCUUUGGGGUGCAGAUAAAGUUCCAACUAACAGCUGCCGCUUUAGAUUGCCAGAGAAAAGCCCUGCAGAGCUUGUGAAUAUGUUGGAUAACCGUCGGUGGCAUUGGAAAAAUGGAAAGCCAGAAACAACAGGCUCCUUGGAUUACCGAGCGUAAGAGCUCCAAUCUGCCCGCGUAUGAAAGAGUACAACUGCUCCAAGAGCGGAUGUAAUUUGAGAUAGAGAUGAUCAAUCCAUCGAAGUGAGAGACUUUAGGCUUCCCGGGGCCAAUACAAACACCGAGGUAUUUAAAGGGGAUGCUGCCUUUGGUAAAACCAGUGAGCUCGGCCAGAGAAUCAUUGAGGGGAGGAUCAGCACCUGCAAUGAGCACACUCGAUUUAGUAACGUUAAGCCGAAGGCCGGAAACAGCCCCAAACUCAGCAAUGCAGUCCAUGAGGAUCCCCACGGAGUGAUGAUCUCCACGUGAAAGGAGGAUAACGUCAUCCGCAAACACAAGGUGAGUAAGUUUCAGAUCAGCGCAGCCUGGAUGGUAAUUGAUCUCCCAAGUAGUACUUUGAAAUUUCAAAAGCCAAGAGAAAUACUCCAUACAAAGGAUGAAGAGAUAAGGAGAUAGAGGAUCCCCCUGUCUAAGACCUCUCUUACCCCGAAAGAAGCCAUGGGCGCCUCCAUUGAUGAGAAUGGAGAAGGAGGUCGUCGUGACGCAUUCCAUAAUGAGAUUCACAAUUUUUUCCGGGAAAUUCAGCUUGUGCAGAAGCUUACGCAGGAAAUUCCACGAGAUGGAGUCGAAAGCUUUCCUAAGAUCAAGCUUGAGUAGACAUCGUGGGGAGCUUCGCUUCCGAAGAUAAUGCUUCAAAAGUUCUUGGAGCAAAAGUAUGUUUUCAGACAUGAGUCUACCAUGGACAAAAGCACCUUGAGAUAAAUUAAUGAGAGCAGGAAGACCCAAAUUAAUCCGUUUGGCAAGGAUCUUUGAGAUGAUCUUGUAAAUGACCUUGCAACAUGCAAUUGGUCGAAAAUCGCCAGCUCCAGGAGAGGAUUUGGUCUUGGGAAUCAGCACAAGAUUGGUGUGGUUUAUUUCCUUUAAAAUCUGCCCGUACGUAAAGAAAUCCGACACAGCGCUGUGAACAUCAGCCCCGACGAUGUCCCAGGCAGCCAAGAAGAAUCCAACUGAAUAGCCAUCACUCCCGGGGGAUUUAUCAAUACCCAUACCCUUAAUCACCCCAUGAACCUCAUCCAGCGAGACUGGAGCUAAGAGGGUAUCAUGGAGAUCAUUCGAAAUGGUGGGGCCCUGAAGAAGGACCUCAUCAUCCAGCUCUGAGACAGAUUCCCUGGUGCCGAGCAGCUGCGAGUAGAAUUCCAGAAUUUCCGUCACCACUUGAUCAAAGGAGUUAGUGUGACUGCCAUCCUCUCUUGAAUUUGCACUUGGUUUUUUGAUGGACAAAAGCCAAGGCAGCCUGCUGUAGCAAUCCAGCCUUAUUCCGCAGACUGGACAGUAUUUCACUCGGUAUUGAACCCGGAUCAGCGUCUGAAUCUGUUCACUCGCUGAGUCUCUUUGCGCUUAAUACCUAAGCUGAAUGGUUAAAGCGCCCCAACUCUGAUUAAAAACGCUCAUAACUUUCCAUAUGCGACGCUUCUCACAGGAACUGGAAAUUAGGAAAGGACUGUGGCUGUAGUGUCGGUCAGUUUUGCUUUUCCAACUCUGCAUUUUCAUUGAGUCGAUCGUGGUGUUUCUAUUUGGCCGUGUUUGUGUGGUGAUUGGACCUGGCAGUGAUUCUGUUGGUGUUAUUGAAUGAUUACUUUUUUUUUUUUUUUCAAGGGAGAGUUUGGUGCUUUAGGAGACGGUGGUUAUGGUGGCAACUUGGAUUGCCAUGUGAGUUUACGAUAUAGUUAUGUAUAUGUGCGUAUUAAUGAUUUUUGGUUCUUUUUUUUGUGCCUGUGUGGUGUUGGCUGUGUGGAUAUUGAUGUUUGAUGUCUCUGUUGAUUUUUACGAUGGA